GUGGGGAAUAUUGGACAAUGGGCGAAAGCCUGAUCCAGCCAUGCUGCGUGUGUGAAGAAGGUCUUCGGAUUGUAAAGCACUUUAAGUUGGGAGGAAGGGCAGUAAGUUAAUACCUUGCUGUUUUGACGUUACCGACAGAAUAAGCACCGGCUAACUUCGUGCCAGCAGCCGCGGUAAUACGAAGGGUGCAAGCGUUAAUCGGAAUUACUGGGCGUAAAGCGCGCGUAGGUGGUUUUGUAAGUUGGAGGUGAAAUCCCCGGGCUCAACCUGGGAACUGACUCCAAAACUGCAUGACUAGAGUACGGUAGAGGGUAGUGGAAUUUCCUGUGUAGCGGUGAAAUGCGUAGAUAUAGGAAGGAACACCAGUGGCGAAGGCGACUACCUGGACUGAUACUGACACUGAGGUGCGAAAGCGUGGGGAGCAAACAGGAUUAGAAACCCGAGUAGUCC
rnacentral:rRNA from 1 species